GAUGAACGCUGGCGGCGUGCCUAAUACAUGCAAGUCGAGCGAACGGACGAGAAGCUUGCUUCUCUGAUGUUAGCGGCGGACGGGUGAGUAACACGUGGAUAACCUACCUAUAAGACUGGGGUAACUUCGGGAAACCGGAGCUAAUACCGGAUAAUAUUUUGAACCGCAUGGUUCAAAAGUGAAAGACGGUCUUGCUGUCACUUAUAGAUGGAUCCGCGCUGCAUUAGCUAGUUGGUAAGGUAACGGCUUACCAAGGCAACGAUGCAUAGCCGACCUGAGAGGGUGAUCGGCCACACUGGAACUGAGACACGGUCCAGACUCCUACGGGAGGCAGCAGUAGGGAAUCUUCCGCAAUGGGCGAAAGCCUGACGGAGCAACGCCGCGUGAGUGAUGAAGGUCUUCGGAUCGUAAAACUCUGUUAUUAGGGAAGAACAUAUGUGUAAGUAACUGUGCACAUCUUGACGGUACCUAAUCAGAAAGCCGCGGCUAACUACGUG
rnacentral:rRNA from 1 species